rnacentral:lncRNA from 1 species
CAUUUAUACCCUACUCAAAGAGCUACAACCAGACACGACUAGAACUCGAAUUCCAAAUCUAAACAGACUCUGUGUACAAAACAAUUUAAAUAACUAAGGAAAACAUAAAACCAUCCUUCCGUGAUAAACUGGGACACCACCACGGAUCAACCGGCCAUCUUCGAGUCUUCCUCCCAUGUCAUCGGCAGACUCCCCAUCAGCGUCAAUCAAUACCGGCCAUCAGUAUAAACACAUCAUCACCUAUGGACUUAUAGUCACAUUCAACUCUCUCCUCAUCGGCAACCACCUUCAUCGGCAACUUUCCUGUAGAUCAAUGACUAUUACCCUGUCUUGCCGAUCCACAUCCUACCGAUCCUGGAUACGUGUCCAAAAAUGGUAUCAACAUACUGCUUAUGAGCAUUGAGUGUGGUCAAGCUGUGUAGACCCUUAGGAGCUUGUCAUGCGGAUAAAAUCAAAAUCCACUUGCACGUUCACUCAUACAUGCUGCUUCUACUCCGGAAGUACGCACCCACAUACAUCCACUCAUUUCCAUCUCCAGAUUUACCCAAAAUUAUUCUACUCCUAUCUAGGAGAGAAUAGCCAAAAACAUUAUCCUAUCCCUCUUAGUCCCCAUGAAAUAAAUGCUCGAGAUAUUUUGGUUACUACCACUUGCUACAUUAUUCCAGGAGGGUGAGUGCUCUGAAAAAAGUGAAUACGAGGAAAUAAAAAGGGGCAAUUGUCCAAAACCUCGAAGAAAAGAAAAAGUGAGACGAGAGGUAAAAAUGGACAAUUGUCCGAUAGUAGAAUUAGGGGUACAAGAUACCCACCCGAGAGAAGAAAAAAAAAGAAAAUAUAGAGCAUCUCAUUCCCCUCAAAAAGCUUCAAAGUGCAAGAAAGGUAUGUAUCCCCUCAAAAGAGCAAAAGUAGAAUUAGACUUUCACCAUUGUUUUCACCAUCAUAACCAUACACCAUUCAUUCGCCACACAUGCACAUCUUGAUAUUGACUUAUUGACUUGUUUCUCUGGAUCCAUGGUUUGACAAUGCAAUAAAUGUCAUGUAAGUAUGUAUACUUUAUCUCCCACCUAUGAGCUCCAGAUAUCAAAACCUUAUUAGAGUAGGAUGAGAGAGAAGGCAAUAUCACUAUGCCUCAUACCACAAAUACUACAUACUUUGAGAGAAGGCAUAUAUCAUCACUACCUUGAUGAGGAUCCAUAAAUACCACAAAAGAGAUAAUUGAGAAGAGUUAUACAAGGAAUCUCUGAGUUUUAUUUGAAAAUCUGCAAAAACUCCAGAGCU